AGCACGAACUCCAGCCCCUUCAGGCGCACCCACAGCAGGAAGAGCAGCGCGCACACGGCCAGCGACACGGCGGGCUCCAUGGUGCGGCGCCGCGCGGGGGCACUUUCCACGAAUUCAUUUGAGCUACACAGCAGUCCUGGGCAGUGGGGAGUGGUGAGCUCCAUUGUGUACACUUGGAAGCAGCCCAGAAAGUUCACUGAGGCAGAUGGGAGGCCCGGAGGAGAAAGAAUGAAGGAAGGCAUUUCAGCCCGAGUAAACUCCCCAGGCCCGCUCUGUGCCAGGCAGUGUUGCAAGCCUCGGCUUCUAGCACGGUGCUUUGUGCACAGUAAACACUCCAGCGGCUGUUGACCAAUGAAUGAAUGAAGAUUGUAGGCUCAAAUAUUCAAGUUAUCAAAGUGCAAAGAAUGAGAGGUUGUUUGCACUGGACUUCAAAAAUAAAUAGCCUGGACCUGUACUGUCUUACACAACAGCUAUGAGCUACUGGUAUGUGGCUAGUCCAAACUGAAAUGCCCUUUAAGAGUAAAACACACACUGGAUUUCAAAGACUUAGUACAAAGAAAAAAUGCAAAAUAGCUCAUUAGUAAUUUUUAUGUUAAUGACAUGUUGAAAUAACAUUUUGAUAUAUUAAGUAAAAUAUAGUAUUAGAAUUAA
rnacentral:lncRNA from 1 species